AUACGGAGGGUGCAAGCGUUAUCCGGAUUCACUGGGUUUAAAGGGUGCGUAGGUGGGUAAGUAAGUCAGUGGUGAAAUCUCCGGGCUUAACCCGGAAACUGCCAUUGAUACUAUUUGUCUUGAAUACUGUGGAGGUCAGCGGAAUAUGUCAUGUAGCGGUGAAAUGCUUAGAUAUGACAUAGAACACCAAUUGCGAAGGCAGCUGGCUACACAAAUAUUGACACUGAGGCACGAAAGCGUGGGGAUCAAACAGGAUUAGAUACCCUGGUAGUCCACGCCCUAAACUAUGGAUACUCGACAUUUGCGAUAAACUGCAAGUGUCUGAGCGAAAGCAUUAAGUAUCCCACCUGGGAAGUACGAUCGCAAGAUUGAA
rnacentral:rRNA from 1 species